GACAGAUGACUUUGGGUGGGUGGAACAUGUUGAUUCGACAUUUUACUCCCACGUGCCCCUUCCUGUCGUUUGUGUAUAGACGGGCAGCUGUGUACUUCAUUAGAAAGAGAAGCAGCGAUACAGAUGACAUCAAGUAUGGCCGAUAACCAAAUCCCCAUCAAUCAGAUUGCCACCAGUCUGCUGCCAAAUGGCAAUUUGCUCUCCUUGUUGGUAAUUUUGGACCUGUCUUAUGUGUCAUCAAGAUUGCAAACGAUGUGUCAUCAUUGACUCCACAUGGCACAUCAGACGUGUAGUCGGGAAAUCGCUACGAAUACUUCUUUUUUCACGCAAUUCUUCUUAAAAUGUUGAGGAUCAGCCAGAUUUGUUCAACGGCAUUUCUUUGUUGCCAACAUCUUCAGCAUUCUGGAAAUUGCAGGCCCAUUUCACGUUGCAGAACGAUAUUUCACUCCUUCGUCUGUUCCCCGGUUUUCGUACGACGGCCAUGCUGCUCUCCCAUCUGGAUAUAAGUCGUAAUUCGAUCGACCAGGGAUCCAUCCGCAUGUAGCCCCUGAAUACUUGGACACUUCCGCUUUGCAUCCGGUGUUUCUUUUGUGAUAGCAAAGAUAUUCUUGCUGGUCGUUAUCAAAGUUGUGAUGGCAGUGGGUGCAGUUUGGAUUAUCGACGCAUCGUUUGGCGCGUUCCAAAGGAUUUCACACAAAGUCACGAACGGAGAAAGGUCGUUGUCUUCACUGGGGAAGAAAUCACAGCCGCUUUCCCAGGGGUAUCCACUGUUGUAACCUCCAGAUUUCCAUUCCAUGGCCGACGAAACAACAAAAACGGUCAUUACCACACCAAAAAACAAAAAGGUUGGAGCCGACCGUCACCGAUUUGGAAUCGAUCCCGUUGUGACAUUUGAUCCCACUCGAAGUUUUAAGAGUCGAUAUGAGUUCCCUUUCACAAACACAAGGGCGAUAUGGGUUGAGAACCUUGACAAGUAAAUCUGAAAGUGCAAUUGAACAUCGUCGUCGUGGUAUAUAAAGAGCCAAUUGAACGAUCAAUCAGCAACUCAUUCUUCUCAUUUACUUGGCUCCAGCAGCAUCUCAUUUGAACGGGAAUUUUUAUUCGUCAGAUUUUGAAUUCAAUUACGAAUAAUUUGUUUAAAUGUCGGUCGCCCAGUGCAACAAAAUGUUUUUGAUUUCCGCCGUUUUGGUGAUGGUUGCGGUGAUCCUGCCGGCCGAGGCGAUCCGAACCUGGGACGAUUGGCACAACGGCGACGACGGCAUUAAAUGGAUGUACAACUGCGAGUUUCCAGGUGCUUGGACGCUGGAAGCCAAGGAAUUCAACAGUGACUAUUCGCCAAUGGAAGAAUCGCAGUGCGGCCGUGCCUGUAUCGACCGCAGGGGAUGCAAUUCCUUCGUGUUCAGAGAAGGCACUUGCUUCCUGAAAUCCUCUUCCAUUCCUGGAUCUUACAAACCUUAUAGACUUUGCAACCAGUGCGACAGUUGCGGUUUUCUCCCCUGGAAAUUCCACUAGAAAUUGCAAUUUAAUUUAUUCAUCAAAUUUAUAUUAUUUAUUUUGUCGGGUUACAAACGUCAGCUUGAUUAAUUCCACUUAUAUUUAUGGGGUGGCGAAAUAUAAUUGUCUCUAAUUGAUUCUUCGUUGUCGUCAAAACGAAUUCCAGGACGAUUUCAAAUCAACUGCGCAGAAUGCGUCAUCGAUAAAAUGAAUAAAGAUUUGGUCAUGCAAACUGACUUUUGUGGUCGCCACUUUCACAUCCGGAAAAGUUAAUAGAAUAAAGAGAACGAAAAAACAGGAUUAGUGCGAGUCUAUCUUUGCGUUCGUGUCUGUCUGGCAGUCGUCCGCGGAGAAACUAGUUUUAUUUUGGUGGGAAAUAUUUGGAUUGAUCCCAGAUAUAAUGAUACCGUAAUUGACUCGUUUCUGUUUUUAAAUGGCAAGUCGUCCUAUAUUAUCUGCGUGUGAUUUGCAUAUGAAAUACGAAAAUGGAUUGGCAUUCCAGUGGGUGACAGAAUUCUGGUAAGGUGCUACUAGAUGGACAACGGUCUCGACGACUUUUGCGAAUUUGACCUUGUCAGACUUUGUACGGCCGAUUCGUGAGAGGAGCAUUUUAAAAAAUUAUUCACCUUUUUGUGUUUGGUUUGAAACCGAUUUCUAUCGAAUACAAAAUAGUCUCGAUUCCUUUUUUCCGAUUUUCCAGUUUAGAAUUUUAGAUUUCGUUUUACCUUGACGUGGUGAAAAUAGCUGAGGAAUUUUUCCACGUUUGGUAAUCAUUUGGGCGUAAACUUUUUAGCUCAUUAUUGAGGACUGAGAUUGUAAUUGUAAUUUUUUACAUUUUGCAAAUAAUUGAAUGCAGGUUUCAAUGUUUUAAUCAAUCAGGCAACGAUGUUUGUUUUGUUUUUAUUUUAUUUUCGUCUGUAGCAAUUUCAAAUGUCAAAAAAAUGGCAGAGAGUUUCAUACGUGAUGUUAAUCUCAUCACUUUCAGAUUUCUUUUCGGUGAAUUAAAAGAAUUAAAGAACUCGUCAGUUGUAUAAAUUAUUCUAUUUUAAUUAGUAUGCACCUGCAAUCCUUUUAAUGCUUUUAAAAGUGUUGUAAGUCAGAAGCAAUGGUGUAACUACACUCGACUGGUAAUCUGAAGGGGAAAAGGUCUAAAAACGGAUCCAUACUGUAUCGUCAACUGCCUCGACGAUCCCAGUUAGUCAGUCCAGAGUGAAGCAAACAUUUUAUUACAUGAUGUACUCCAACAUAUGUAUGCAACAGUUCAUCUGAACCCAAUGAUCUUUCAUUCCGUUUACAUCUCAAUUAGUUUUACCCAAUUGUUCACAUGUGAGAUGUCUUACCGAGCAGAGAUCCCAAAUUCUGGGCAUCUGGGAUUGUGUAAUGAGGUAAGAGCUUUUUGGAAACACUACCUUGAUUUGUCAACAAUAUUCUGCCAAUGUUUCUAUUUUCCCUUGAAUCGCUUUUCUCAUCUUGUGUAAGAGGAGGUAGGAUUAAUUAUGCUAGUGAGUGGAAUAGGUACACCUAUUCUCGACAGUAUAUAUACUGGCAAUACACGGGGGACGUGGACAAACCAUUCUUCAGCUGCACAGCAAGUAUUCUACUAUCAAGUAUCCAUCUAAAAAAAUUCUCUGCAAGAUGAAUUUGAUUUCGAUCGCUUCCCUGUUGGUUGUUGCUGCGUUGAUGAUUUCGGUCGAUGCCCAGUGGAACACCGGCGACGGUGGCGUCAGAUGGAGGCCCAACUGCGACUUCACCGGCGGAGACAUUGGCAACGUGCGAGUGCCCGGACCGCAGUGCGGAAGGGCUUGCAUCAAUCGACCUAGAUGCAAUCAUUUUACUUAUAGAGACGGAGUGUGUUACCUGAAAAGCCAUCCAUUAUCCAAACCACGAUCCGGAUGUGGCGCAUGCGCUGUUUGCGGAUACCUUCCAUUCCGAACCAUCGGAUAAAGUUUUCUCGUUUCAGAUUUUGCAGUUUUCCAGAUUUUGCAGUUUUCCAGAUUUCUAUCUAUCGUUUCGUAUUUAGUUUAUAUACCUUUAUAAGUAGCAUUAUUAUGUAGAUGUAGACGAAAUAAUUUAUCAAAUACAACUUAUUAUUACACGC
rnacentral:lncRNA from 1 species